rnacentral:tRNA from 1 species
GAGGGUAAGUUGAAUACAAGAUUAAGCUGCUAACUUAUAUCUUUAAUGGUUAAAUUCCAUUAAAACCCUUA